UCGUCUCGCAUUCUCUCCCACGCACGCGACCUUCUCUCGUUCCACGCGCCAACGCAGCCGCCGUCUCCUCUGCUCCUUUCUCUCUACAUCGCCAGAUCUAGGACGCCACCGGGAGGAGAUCAGAGAGGCCACGGCCGCGGCAGAAGCACCAUUCUCGACCAGAUCCGGCACUCAGCGCAGCUACCGCCCUUUUCUCUUGUUUACAUACGCAGCGAUUUCUGUGUUUCCUUUCCAACGAAGGCAGCUCCGCAUCGGGCCGCACACGCACAUCUUCGUCUCCACCUCUCCCCCCACAUGCCACCGCCUCCUCUCUCUCAACGUCGCCAGCUGCAGCCGCCUCUUCUUCCUCUCUCUCUCUGCUUGUCUCCCCCCUCGCUGAACAAGGCUCACACGAGCGGCGGUGGCAGCAGACCUGUGAGAAACAUGGAAAGGCAGGAGGUGGAAGUCCUCGCGGGAGUCAUCGUCCAUGAAGAACUGGAUCGGAAGCAGUUCACGGCAUGUACGUCCCCGACCAGCCGCCGGAGUCCCUCUGUCUGCUGUGUGCGAUAGCUUUACUCGCUAUCUGUUCUAUUUGCAAGAGGAGGCAAGGGUCGGGAAGCGGUGGCACCGGCGACUGGCAAACCUCAUCGGCUACUGCUGCGACGGGGUCGAGCGCCUGUUCGUCGCUGAGUUCAUGCCCAACGACACCCUCGCCAAGCACCUCUUCCACUAUCCCACUAUGUCACCGGCCUGCUCUCCCUCCCCUGCACCAGGCUCUCCGACCGGCUCCUUCGCACCGCCUUCCACUUCAAAGUUCAAACAACUCAAAGACAAGAAAUUCAAGCGUUCUGUGCCUCUUUGAGGUAUUUUUGGCUGUAACAAAUUUCUGAAGAGGGAUGACACAUUCAGAAUUUCAGAUAGACUUGUGUCUUUUUGGUUGUAAUGGCAUAUGCUUGCUACUCCCUCCGUUUUUAUUUACUCUGCAUAUUAGAGUUGACUGAAGUCAAACUUCGUAAACUUUGACCAAGUUUAUAGAAAACGAUAUAAAUAUUUACGAUAACAAAUCUAUAUAAUGUGAAAGUACAUAUAAUAAUAAAUCUAAUGGUAUUGAUUUGUUAUGGUAUAGGUUAAUAUUUUUGUUUCUAAACUCUGUCAAAGUUUGCAAAGCUUGACUUUGACCAAAGCUAAUACGCGAACUAAAUAAAAACGGAGGGAGUACAAUCUUUACUGACAAUGAGCAGUUAGAUUGGAUGCAGGCAUGCAGCUACACUCUUUAUUAAUGCAAGAAACAAAAGAGCUAUCUGAACUUCCCAAUCAUCAGAUAUAUAGAUGUUCCAUACUUGUAGCAGAUGUUCUUUGCUGCGAUGUGUGUCACUAAACUUAGCACCAACCAUAGAACAAGCUGCUAAACUGAACUCAUCGUCUGCAUUUGCUAGGCCUCAUUUUAUAGAACGAGAAAUCGGGAGGAGUCAGAAAAUUACAUGCUUAUAGUAUGUACUAACAGUUAAAAACAUAUGCAGUUUGACUAUGUAUAUGAUCCUCCCGUUUACUUAUUUAUUUGUUGUCUCAAAUGUAAAUCUGUGAGGUUCACCCUGGCCGUUGUCAAGUCCUGACCAUGGCCACACUGCAGAAACAUCAAAUUCUGUUGAUGUCGAUUUUAUUGAUGAUAAAUGUCAGGUAUAAUCUUCUAUGUCCUUUUCAGUUACAUGUAUGUGCGUCUUUAUGUUCCGUGUUUCAAAUUAAAGCAUACGUCUUUCCCUUUUGUGAGUCUCAAGUGAGCUUCUACGGGUAUUCUCCAAUUAUACACCUACUGGCUAUAUAUUUCCCUACCAUGUUGCUUUUCCACCUCAAAUACCGAACUGAAUAUUUAUGUUUGUUAGAAGCUUAUGUAUGAUCAGACCUGAGACCUUAAGUCCAAAAUCACUGAUGUGCCACCCCUGACCAUGGUGUGUCCAUGAAGGGCUAGGAAUUUAUGUUCUAAUGUGAUCUAUUUGAUCUGUAGCGAGACGAAAUGCCGGCAUGCCUGUGCAGGUUGUCACUGAGCACUCUUAAUUUGGACAAGCUUCUUGAAACGAUUGUAGACUACUUUUAUCUGUUGACUACAUUGUUUAAUCUUUUUUCGAGCUUAUAUAAUAGUUUCCGUCUCAGCUAUUGGCACUGCAAGAUAUCCUAAUAUAUAAUGUUUUACCUGCCAGAAACAUUGAUGAUAUUAUUGAUUACAGUAACAAAAAAACUCUUACCUAUCCCUUAUUCUAUAUAUCUGAUUUGGAUUGUUUGAGGAAGUAAACAUUGGAAAUGCAGUUUAGUUAAUAUUGGGUUCAUUUCAUUGGAGCGCUGAGCCAUGUAUUUGCAAUUUUAGUAACAGACUUAGUUUGUGUAAAAGAGAUAAACGCCUGCUAGCUUUUCAGGCAUUAAAGAAAAACAAUGAAUCCCUUGCUAAAUAUGCCAGGGUGAUGUCCAGGUAAGGCCUUGGCUUCGUUUGUAAAGAAGCGAGUAGCCAUUCUACUUUUGUGUAAGCUGAACAUAUGUUUUGAUGUAUUUCUUGAGUUAAUAACACCAGAUUUCCGUA